rnacentral:rRNA from 1 species
UACGGAGGGAGCUAGCGUUGUUCGGAAUUACUGGGCGUAAAGCGCACGUAGGCGGCUAUUCAAGUCGGGAGUGAAAGCCCGGGGCUCAACCCCGGAAUGGCUUUCGAAACUGCUGAGCUAGAGUACAGAAGGGGCAACCGGAAUUCCCAGUGUAGCGGUGAAAUGCGUAGAUAUUGGGAAGAACACCUGAGGCGAAGGCGGGUUGCUGGGCUGAUACUGACGCUGAGGCGCGAAAGCCAGGGGAGCAAACGGG